rnacentral:tRNA from 1 species
UCCCUCGUGGUCCAGUGGUUAGGACUCUGUGCUUCCGCUUCAGGGGAUGCAGGUUUGAACCCUGGUUGGGGAA